UGUCGUCUCUUAAUGGAUCAUAAAAACAAAAAACAAAAAGUGUCGUCAGUUAUAUCGGCGUCGUUUUCUCCCAAGCGCGCCAACUCCGCGGCCCUUACAUACACUCCCGAGCAAAUUCCUUCGUCAAUACAAAAAAUCUUCAAAUUAACGAUUCAGCUCUGAAAAUUUCCUUGUAUGGAAUCUCAAUUCGAGACGGCCUCGCAACCUGAUCCUACCACUGACGCUCACACCUUCCUCGAAUUCAACACCCAAGCCGAGUCCGAGUUCGAGUAUACGGACAUCCCACGCAACCCUAUUUGUUCUUUGCCGACACCCUCCGGUGCCACCACAGCCGACUGCCACUUAGACGCUGUUGCCUCCUCUUCUCCUUUUAGCGCUUUCAAAGGCGCUAGCCGUGGCGUAAUGAGUAAUGACAAGAGUAAUAGCAACGGUAUUAGCAAUAAUGAGGCCAUGGUUGAUGCUUUAGUGACGGGGAUUAGUAGAUUGUUUUUUUAGGAGACCGUUGGCGAUGAGAAUGGCGAUUAUGAGUAUGGAAAUGGGGGUUUUUUCGGGCAUGCUGUCGGUAUUGCCGAGUUUCAAACCCGGUUUGCGUGGUCCGCUGUAAUGUUCCUUCGUGUAGAAAAUGGUUUCUUAACUCAAGAGGGAAUACAUCAGGCUCGCAUAUUGUUAAUCAUCUCGUUUCACAUUUGUUGGAAAGGAGAACAAUGGAUUUGCAACAUAAUGCAAUGGUAUGAAUGAAGUUAGAACAAAUUAUGUGCAACUGCUGCUAGAAGCUAACAACUGUUAGAAAAUUGCACUCCUGUUCUUAUUUCUUCGAAGGUGUAGCUUAUGAUGCAUUGGUUUAUAUGCUGGGAAACUAUGAAUAAAUAUGUUUGAGAUUUUACUUGUAUUUAUCUGUAAAUUGAUGUAUUUACUAAUGUGUUUUUCUGAAGGUUGUAAAACUUUGUGCAAAAUCUAAAGAAGCUAUUAGUUCUCCUAUUGAACAUUUGACCCUGUAUUAUCAGGUACGACAUUUUGACACACUUGAGAAGAGUGAACUUCACAAGUUACAGCAAUCGAAAGAUGAACAAGGUUGGGAUAUGCCCUUUGUCAGCAAUGACAAACAAUUAAUUAAAUGGAUUUUUUCCAAUGAAAAUCUUAACAGAUAGUGCUUCCCAAGUGUAGAGGGUUCUUUUGGUAAGGUGAGGAGACGUUACAAUCUAGCAAAACGAGAUGUCAUAGAGAGAUGGUGAAGAGGAAGAUCGGAGUAGACUUUGGAAAACAAGUGCAGUAGCAGGUGGUGCAAGGGCUGAGAAAGAUAGAGAGCUACCGUGGUUCUUAUGAUUGUAGAAAGAGUUGCAGAGAGAAUCUUAGGGUGUUAAGUUUUUCAGAAGAUCAAAAAGUCCCCCUAAAUGAGACGUCUUUUAGACCUUGAAAAAGGAAGUUAAAAGGGAAACGGUUAUGGAAAGGAUGUGGGCUUGAAUGUGCUAAAAUGGUGGGUAGUGGGAUUGGAAGUGGUUACUUGAUUGUGAGAAAAUGGAAGGUAACUUAAAUAGAUAAGGGGUAUAAUGAGGGUUAAUGAGAGUUGCACUCAAAGUAUCUAGCAACGAUUGUUCAUUAAUGAAAUAAAGAGGAAGUACUUGCAUUCCCAAAGAAA